CUCAUCUUCGAAAUUCAGACCUAUUCAGUUUGAGAUGAUAAUAAGAACCAUGGUUGUUAUCGAUAGAAGUCAAGAGACCAUGAAGAUGCUGCCCAUAUGGGAGAGUACUUUUUAUAGAAUACGGAGGCCCUUUUCUAAAAUUGUCCAGGUAUCUCUUCGUUUCUCUCUUUCUUGCCUAAUAUGGCAUUUUAAUAAUUCUUAUAACACACUGAGUUCCAUUCAGAUAGUUGUCUGUUUGGUGAAAGGAUGGAGUUGGCUUUUCAUGGUAUAUAUCAACUUCUGAAGUUUAUGUUCAAUGGGAAAGUGAAUUGUAAUAUUCCUUCCUCUACCUCACUGCUGCAGACUACCCUUCUCCAGUCCACGACUGAUGUUCUAAGAUGCAGCAGAUGGAUAGCGCUCAGUUUGGUUGUCGAAGAAUCACAUGCGGAAUAUGUUGGCACAGGGGCAUGGUAAGGGGGAUGACGAUACUGUCAGCAAGUAGGCUAUGGAAGAUUUAGGCAAAUGUGGGUGAGCAAGAUUUCCAUGGCGGCGUGAUGCACCCUUUGCUCAAAACAUCCGUGCGGUCGAUGCAGUGGAGCAACAGAUGCACCAAUCUAGAACGAUGGGCAUGGGUGAGACGGCAAUUAUGCUUUAUUGAUUUGAGACAACAAAAUAUGAAGCUAGCAUACUUUGGUAUUCAGCUUUGCUGCGGAGGUACUUAGAUUGGUGCAUCUGUUUCAGUUGUCCAAUAUAUUUUAUUUCAGACUCUGAAAUCAUAGACGAGGAUGUGAAGGCCCUGAAGGUGUGUUUCAAGUAAUAUUGUGUGGAUGAAUUGUUCACUGAAAAAGUGUAUGAACUCAACACAUCCAGCUUGAGGUUGAUGCCUAUUGUUUCUAUUUCAAACGUACUGAAGAUGAUGCACAUGUUCUCCUUGAAUAAUUC